rnacentral:lncRNA from 1 species
GCCCUCCUCCUGGCCCCCGCCCGUCUCCUCGGAGCUGGCCCGAGGGCGGGGCGCGCAAAACCCCUUGAGCGCGUCGUCCUGCACCGUCCUGGCCCAGGACUUUAGCUGCCGGAUCGCUCCGGAGCCGAGGACCUCCCCGCGCCCCCCGCCGUCUGGGCCUCCAGGGCCGCCAAGCGAGGGUUCACAGCUGCCCGCACAUCCCGGGUCUCCCCCGCCCCAUUCUAGCCGCCCAGUUUGCCCCCUUCGGGCGAAAGUGAGGAUAAGCUGACGCUUUCCCUCAACUUCUCUGGGAGAGAGAGCCGGAGCCCCACACACUGGCUUCAGUGUCCCAGAACACUCAGCAGGAGGAGAGAACGAUUUAAGAAACAAUUUGGUUCGAAAGGCCAUGGUGAAAAUCAGCCAUUUGUACAGCUGAGACGUGGUUGUGUUUAACCCAGAGGACCUCGCUUUCAGGGAAAAAAGAAAAAGAAGAAAAAAACCUGAUGCGGCCUUUCAGACAGCGCCAAUGAGAAGAAUGUGUGAUUGGAAGCCCCGAGAACCAGCACAGGUCUUUUAAAUAUUAGAGAGAGAGUGGCGUGGCCGGGAGGAUCCCUAGCCCACAGGAGUCCAACUGAGGAUCUUCGUGUGAAGCUCACCUCAGGUACCUAUGUCUGAAUCCCACCAGCAGUGCAAAGACCCUUCCUGGAGGGGAAAGCUCAAGAAAGUGAAGAAGAUAUUAGUGAUAUCCAGUGAGCCAGUGGAUCUGAACACACUGAAAAGUGUACAAGCUGAUUUUGUCAUCUCUAUUUCACUUUGUCAAACAAGAAACAUCUCAAGUGAAGGAAACUGCUACCUGAAAAUAAGGAGGUCCAGGGCAGAGGUGGAAGCCUCUGGUCCUUUUUCCCUGUUGCUGAGAGUGGCCUUGGAAACCCUCAGUAAUACUCUGUACACCCAGGAGGCCGUACACCCAGGGAGGCCAGAAGAGGUCGACAGAAAUAGUUUCCAUCAAAAAAAAAAAAAAAAAAAGAAAGAAAGAAAUAGUUUCCAUCUCAAUAUCCUGUGUUUUCCUUUCUCAGAAACCAGAGCAGCUCCACAGCCCAGGCCUGGAGGGGAAGCCAGAGGGAGUUUAUGCAGCAGGAGCCCUGGGCCGGCCCCGCCCGGCUGCCUGCCUGACUGAGGGCUGCCUCUGCAGUUGAGUCGUCCCCAUCCCCUGGGGGACUGUUUUCUCUAAUAAUCCUUUAAUAUUAGGAAAUAUCUGUCAGUGUUUACAAUUUCCUGAAUGUCUUCAAUUUGCUCCCUUUUUUGUGAUGUUUGUUUGAAUGAAGAAUCUAAAGAUCUGUACAUUGUCAUUGAUAGAUAUAUCUCUGAAAUCCUUUGUAGUUUAGUUUACCCUCUAAGUAAAUCCUCUCUCCACUUUUUUAAUGAAAAAAAAGUGUCCUUUUUAAUGAAAGCAAAGUAAGGUUGUUUAUGCUGCAGUUUCCCAAACCUGAAUUUUUAAAAUUAAAACACAGUAAAGUCCUUGAAGAACCCUCUCUUCCUUGUGUAGCCU